ACGCGCUGUGCUUGUUUGAGUACGAAACACUGCCACGAGAUCUGACUCAUAUGGACACACACAAAGGAUUUUCAUGUGUAGAAACAGUCUCCAGCACCAUAAUCAAGAUCUACUGCUGCUGCACCUUCUUGACUUGACCAGUCUGGUCUUCUGCAUCAAUCAGAGUCACAUGAAUGGACGAAUGGCUGAAUUCUGCUAGCUAAUUUGAUGCGACACGCUUGAAACAUCGACUUAACAGGCCUCUUAUAGUGAACUGCUUUCUGAUGGAUUUUGGAUGGAAGAGGCGAAUGGGAGUUCUGUCAAGAGCCCUGUACGCUCUCCAAAACUGCCAAUCAAAGCCACACAU